GAUGAACGCUGGCGGCGUGCCUAAUACAUGCAAGUCGAGCGAACAGACGAGGAGCUUGCCCCUCUGACGUUAGCGGCGGACGGGUGAGUAACACGUGGAUAACCUACCUAUAAGACUGGGAUAACUUCGGGAAACCGGAGCUAAUACCGGAUAAUAUAUUGAACCGCAUGGUUCAAUAGUGAAAGACGGUUUUGCUGUCACUUAUAGAUGGAUCCGCGCCGCAUUAGCUAGUUGGUAAGGUAACGGCUUACCAAGGCAACGAUGCGUAGCCGACCUGAGAGGGUGAUCGGCCACACUGGAACUGAGACACGGUCCAGACUCCUACGGGAGGCAGCAGUAGGGAAUCUUCCGCAAUGGGCGAAAGCCUGACGGGGCAACGCCGCGUGAGUGAUGAAGGUCUUCGGAUCGUAAAACUCUGUUAUUAGGGAAGAACAAAUGUGUAAGUAACUAUGCACGUCUUGACGGUACCUAAUCAGAAAGCCACGGCUAACUACGUG
rnacentral:rRNA from 1 species